AGAAAACAAUGUAAUGUAGUGUGUCCCAAAUCACACCCUUUCCACUGGGAACAGAUAUCAGUUCCAAUGUCUAGUUUUGAUUUACAUCUGGUUGAGUUUGUCAAAUAAUGUGAAUUCAACGUGAAAUCAACAACAACAACAUUUCAUCAUGUCAUUGGACUUAUGUAACAUAUUUUUUUUGGGGGGGGGUUGAAGUGUCGUGGAAACAUUUGAUUCAACACGUUUUUUUUUGUCCAGUGUGUAUUCCCCUAGAUAGUGCACUAGUUUUGACCAUGCGAGGCCCAUAGGGCUCUAAUCAAAAGUAGUGCACUAUGUAGGGAAUAGGGUACCCUUUGGAAUUACAAACCAGUGUCUGGAAGCUGUCCUUUUCUCUCUUAUACUGCCUUGGAUGUAACAAAGGUUUCAAUAUAACAUUAUGGCAAUGCUGAAAGCCAAAGAUAAUACUGCGACAUGUAUUCUUAAAAAUAAAAAAAAAUGAACGAGUGCACUGUUAAGGAUAUAAGGGAGGGCGGCCAUUUUGGAAUGCAGAGCAGGUAUAAUGAGAAUGUAUAAACUUGUUUAGUUGCUGUAUUGUGAGAAGCUAAGAAUAUACUGUGAUUAAUGACAUGUUAAUGACAAUGCUUAAUAUGGCUUUCCAAAUACGUAAAAAAAUAUAAAAAAUAAAAGGGAUUUAUGACAUGCAAUGAUGAAAAUAAUGUAAAGUACAUGAAAGUCAAGUGGUUCAUGAGGAUGAGGACAACGGCUGAGUGCCAGAUGGCACCCUAUUCCCAUAGGGCUCUGGUCUAAAGUAGUGCACUAUAUAGGAAAUAGGGCUCUGGUCUAAAGUAGGGCACUAUAUAGGGAAUAGGGCUCUGGUCUAAAGUGGUGCCCUAUAUAGGGAAUAGGGCUCUGGUCUAAAGUAGUGCACUAUAUAGGGAAUAGGGCUCUGGUCUAAAGUAGUGCACUAUAUAGGGAAUAGGGCUCUGGUCUAAAGUAGUGCACUAUAUAGGGAAUAGGGCUCGGGUCUAAAGUAGGGCACUAUAUAGGGAAUAGGGCUCUGGUCUAAAGUGGUGCCCUAUAUAGGGAAUAGGGCUCUGGUCUAAAGUAGUGCACUAUAUAGGGAAUAGGGCUCUGGUCUAAAGUAGUGCCUGAUAUAGGGAAUAGGCCUCUGGUCUAAAGUAGUGCCCUAUGUAGGGAAUAGGGCUCUGUAGGGCUCUGGUCUAAAGUAGUGCCCUAUGUAGGUAAUAGGGCUCUGUAGGGCUCUGGUCUAAAGUAGUGCCCUCUAUAGGGAAUAGGGCUCUGGUCUAAAGUAGUGCCCUAUGUAGGGAAUAUGGUUCUGUAGGGCUUUGGGCUAAAGUAGUGCACUAUAUAGGGAAUAGGGCUCUGGCCAAAAGUAGUGCCCUAUAUAGGGAAUAGGGUUCUGUAGGGCUCUGGUCUAAAGUAGUGCCCUAUAUAGGGAAUAGGGUUCUGUAGGGCUCUGGUCUAAAGUAGUGCCCUAUAUAGGGAAUAGGGCUCUGGUCUAAUGUAGUGCCCUAUAUAGGGAAUAGGGCUCUGGUCUAAAGUAGUACACUAAAUAGGGAAUAGGGCUCUGGUCUAAAGUAGUGCCCUAUAUAGGGAAUAGGGCUCUGUAGGGCUCUGGUCUAAAGUAGUGCCCUAUAUAGGGAAUAGGGUGCCAUUUGGGACGCAACCGACUUGUUCGUUCACUACACAAUGUUAUGUUCAUUACACAAGAAGCAGAUCAUCAAUGACUUGAAUACCUGACUCAACGAUGUCCAUUAAAAGUAUGUGAA
ensembl:lncRNA